AAAUGGCGUGAGGUCAAGGCCACGUGGCAGCGAGACAUGCCGAACACUGCCGAAUUCAAGCCGACUGAAUACCGGAAAGUCCCGAAACACAAGCCAAGGAAAACAGUCGGCGCCCAGGCAACCGACAUCAAUCUUGAGAUCAUACGAAACAAAGAACGAUUACGGUACGCUCUACCAACUCAGAAAACUCAACAUCGAUCGCCACAAUGAUGCCGAUGACAAGGGAGACAACUGGUUCUGGGACAAGGAAUACCGGCGCUGGCGGGAGCACCACAAGCAGCGCCUCCUCGGGGAC